rnacentral:rRNA from 1 species
CACAUGCAAGUCGAGGGGCAGCGGGAUUGAAGCUUGCUUCAAUUGCCGGCGACCGGCGCACGGGUGAGUAACGCGUAUCCAACCUUCCGUACACUCAGGGAUAGCCUUUCGAAAGAAAGAUUAAUACCUGAUGGUAUGAUGAGAUUGCAUGAUAGCAUCAUUAAAGAUUCAUCGGUGUACGAUGGGGAUGCGUUCCAUUAGGUAGUAGGCGGGGUAACGGCCCACCUAGCCUACGAUGGAUAGGGGUUCUGAGAGGAAGGUCCCCCACAUUGGAACUGAGACACGGUCCAAACUCCUACGGGAGGCAGCAGUGAGGAAUAUUGGUCAAUGGACGAGAGUCUGAACCAGCCAAGUAGCGUGAAGGAUGAAGGUCCUACGGAUUGUAAACUUCUUUUAUAAGGGAAUAAAACCUCCCACGUGUGGGAGCUUGUAUGUACCUUAUGAAUAAGCAUCGGCUAACUCCGUGCCAGCAGCCGCGGUAAUACGGAGGAUGCGAGCGUUAUCCGGAUUUAUUGGGUUUAAAGGGAGCGCAGACGGGUCGUUAAGUCAGCUGUGAAAGUUUGGGGCUCAACCUUAAAAUUGCAGUUGAUACUGGCGUCCUUGAGUGCGGUUGAGGUGUGCGGAAUUCGUGGUGUAGCGGUGAAAUGCUUAGAUAUCACGAAGAACUCCGAUUGCGAAGGCAGCGCACUAAGCCGUAACUGACGUUCAUGCUCGAAAGUGUGGGUAUCAAACAGGAUUAGAUACCCUGGUAGUCCACACGGUAAACGAUGGAUACUCGCUGUUGGCGAUAUACUGUCAGCGGCUUAGCGAAAGCGUUAAGUAUCCCACCUGGGGAGUACGCCGGCAACGGUGAAACUCAAAGGAAUUGACGGGGGCCCGCACAAGCGGAGGAACAUGUGGUU